UAUUGGACAAGUGCGGGUAGUCCCUUCUUGAUUCAGUGUGUUUUCUUCCGUUUAGUGCCUAAUGAACAGGGCCCAGGUCUGCCCAGCAUUGGUGUGGAGUCAGGGAUCUAGCGGUUGGAAAAGCCAGCGGGGCAGCAACAGCAUGUAGCACUUUGGCAGCAGAGAAGAGAAGAUUGGUGGUGGUGAACUAAAAUGUCCUGAUGACUGCUGGGAAAAAUAAAAAACCAUUGGAAAAUUGCUCAGCGACUGGGACAGGGAAAAGACAUGCUGGGCUGAAUGGAGUAUAGUGGAGAAAUAGCAAGAAAAUAGCAUUGGAAGAGCUAGGGAAGACCUUGGAAAUCUCCAGAAGAAGAAAAAUCAUUGACUUACUGUAGAUCAAAAGUGCAAUGUCGGUGACAUAUCUGUCUUCGACUGUGCCAUUGGUCAAGGAAAUUAUACUUAUGUCAUACCAAACUGGAGAUCUUCUAGUAACCAAGGACUGAGUCUGCAUUCUUCCAGACUCACCCCCUACCGUGACAUCGUUAACAUCUCAACGACAUGUAUUUAUGUUGUCUUUGUGCGAAAGUGCAGGUCAGACAACCUGCCUGGUUUAAAACCCUCUCACUUCAACAUCUGGACGUUCUAAACCAUCUGGAGAGCAGCAGUAAAUCACGGCUUCCUUUUGGAAAUCCACUAAAACGUUUGUGUGCCUUUUUCAUCUCAGGAGUUUCCCCCUUUAGACUUGGCUUCACUGACCAUGCACUAAUUUGUCACCAGCCUCCUAUUUUAGCUUGUGUAACCACCAAGAGGAGAGGAGACAACCACAGGGGAGCGGAAUAGAAAUAACCAAUGCAAGAGAACACAGCAUCUCUAAGAUCUGAGCAGCCUAUUCCAUACAUUUAGCUCGAGAUAUAGUGGAGUUGUCUGGCAAGACCGAACUACAGUAGAUUUACAAGUCAACACCCUCAAGAAAAGCAAUUCCACUCUUCCAUGCCAUUACUAUUAAUCCUUACUCAUCAUCCUACUGAUGAUAGCACUUACAAGCCUCUUGCUUUUCUUUCCAUCCCAAAUGGCUUUGCCAGAAUGUUAUGGCCAAGCUGCAUAUGUCUACAGGACCAAGAUCUACGACCCCAAGACACAAACACCCGUCAUUUCUGUGUUUCUGUUGGCCAAUAAUCCCCUGAAACACCAUGGAUGAGAGCAAAUGUAAACUUGGUAGCAUGCUGUUCAGUCAUUCCUUUUGGCAUCGGGUCAAUGCAGGAGGUAUUUACUACAGACAUUACCACCAACGAUAGAGGGAUUUGGGUAUAUUUCUCUAAGUGAUCCUUAAACUGUGUCUCUUCAACCUAACCUAAUUAUUCAUUCAGCAUGUUGGAAUGCAAUGGGGAGACAUUAUGUUAGCACUCUGUUUUGUUUCUAACUGUAUGAAUGUAUCACAUGUUGAUUGUCGGAGCGAUUGAUUGGUCAACACUUUUUACACCUGAAUCAUCCAUUAAAGGGCAUGAGACCAAGCUGUACUGUACAUAACGGAUACAACCACACUCAGAACAAUAGAGUAAAAAGUGAAACUGUCGCCAUGUGUUUCCAUGAGUUUGCAGCCAGCUGCUGUAGUCUAUGUGUGUGAAGACAAGAGGGGGAUAAAACUUACACAAAGUCCUUAUUAAAAACACUUUCACUAGACAGAGUCCCUCAGCUGACACGGGAUAGACUAGGCAUCUAAUGCAGGUGCACAUCUCUAGCAGAGAGUCC
ensembl:lncRNA